GAUGAACGCUGGCGGCGUGCCUAAUACAUGCAAGUCGAGCGAACAGACGCGGCGCUUGCUCCUCUGACGUUAGCGGAGGACGGGAGAGUCACACGUGUAUAACCUACCUAUCAGUCUGGUAUCACUUCGGGACACCGGAGCUAAUCCCGGAUAAUCUACUGCACCGCAUGGUUCGAUAGUGAAAGACGGCUUUGCGGUCUCUUCUAGAUGGUUACGCGCCGCAUUGGCUAGUUGGGAAGGAAACGGGUUACCAAGGCAACGAUGCGUAGCCGACGGGUGAGAGUGAUAGGCCACACUGGAACUGGGACGCGGACCAGAGUACUACGGGACGCAGCAGUAGGGAAUGGGACGCAAUGGGCGAAAGCCUGACGGAGCAACGCCGCGUGAGAGGUGAAGGUGUUCGGAUCGUAAAGCUCUGUUAUUGGGGAAGAACAAAUUUGGAAGGAACUAAGCACGGAGUGACGGUAACGAAUAAGAAAGCCACGGCUAACUACGUG
rnacentral:rRNA from 1 species